CAAUUCCAAUUGCUUUUCCUUCUUUCUUCUUUCCUGCGUUUCUCUGCUUUCUUUUCCUGGGUUGGGUUCGAAGUAGGAAACAGGGGAAAACAGAGGGUGAGAGAGAGAGAGAGAGAGAAUAUGCGAGAGAAAGAGAAGGAAAAAAAAAAAGAGAGUGAAUGAGCUUUGAGCCUAGUUCGAAAGGGGGCAUAUACAGACCAGGGAGUACGUGAAGAUUUAGGGCUGUUGGGUGACUAUUUGUAAGGGAUGGAGUAUACCCAAGCCAUGUAUCUCGAAGAGUUGAACUACGUGAUUUAUUUUUGGGAGUUAUCGAUAAGCUUCCGAUUGCGCGGAGGAACCACUUUUUGAUAUCGGGGAUCAGCUUGGAGGACUAAGUAGGAACCUUAGAUAUUUAAUAGAUAUCCUUUCUGUAUAGAAUGGACUUUAGAAUGUUACGACCUGAAGAUUUUGUUUAGUUGUAUCACUGAUGUGAGAGCGAAAAAGAAAUCUCCGGAAAAGUGUAUAUACCUAUUAGAGUUGAUGGAUUGGUUAUAUACUUUGGAAAUUUAUGAGAAGUAAGUUUUUAUGUGAUAAUGGAUUCGAUGAAAUUUAGGAAAA